AUGAACGCUGGCGGCGUGCCUAAUACAUGCACGUCGCGCGAACAGACGAGGAGCUUGCUCCUCUGACGUUAGCGGCGGACGGGUGAGUAACACGUGGAUAACCUACCUAUAAGACUGGGAUAACUUCGGGAAACCGGAGCUAAUACCGGAUAAUAUAUUGAACCGCAUGGUUCAAUAGUGAAAGACGGUUUUGCUGUCACUUAUAGAUGGAUCCGCGCCGCAUUUGCUAGUUGGUAAGGUAACGGCUUACCAAGGCAACGAUGCGUAGCCGACCUGAGAGGGUGAUCGGCCACACUGGAACUGAGACACGGUCCAGACUCCUACGGGAGGCAGCAGUAGGGAAUCUUCCGCAAUGGGCGAAAGCCUGACGGAGCAACGCCGCGUGAGUGAUGAAGGUCUUCGGAUCGUAAAACUCUGUUAUUAGGGAAGAACAAAUGUGUAAGUAACUAUGCACGUCUUGACGGUACCUAAUCAGAAAGCCACGGCUAACUACGUG
rnacentral:rRNA from 1 species